UCACCAUUGGACUGACUUUUUUUGGGUCUUCCAUUCUCAUUAUCCACAUCCAUUUCUGAUGAUUCAUCAAGGUCAACGACCAUUUCAUCAGCUUGAAUUGACUUCAAUGCCCGCAGGGUUUGAGCUUUAGAAUCCUCAGGCAGGCGCUCCAUCAGCACAUUUGAGAAGUUUUGGUACAAUGAGAGGAAUAAUGCCUCAUUUUCAUCAAGUGCUCGAGCAAGAAGAGCCUCCUUGGCCUCCAAAGAAUCACG
rnacentral:misc_RNA from 1 species